CCAAAGUUCUAUCUCACUCAUAAGUGCCUAUUUCCUUAAUUACCUUAAAUCUCGAUUCUUUUUUCGCGGGUUCUGAAGAAUUUGAGGAACCGUUGCAUACUGUAUUGUUUUUGGGCAUUUCUUUUGCACCUAUGGAGUCUUCAAUGAAAAUUGGGUCGUCGAUUGUUUUGCCCAUUUCUUCAUAUUCAGUUAAACUUAAUCAACACAAGCAAUAUAAGGUUGAUUAUGGGUUUCGAUUCAGUGGAAGACGGUCCAUAAGUAAAAUUUGCGUCAUCAUCCCUAAUGGCUCUGUUUCUUCCUCUUCUUCUCAUGAGGCAGAAUCGAGGGCAGUGGGAAAUGCACAUAGACAAAGAAGCAGCCUUGAAUCUCUUUUUUGUUAUGAUAAGCCUAUACCAGAGGAGAGAAUUGAGAAGCCGGUUGGUACAUCUUUAGCUAAAAAAUCAAUUGGAGAUAAUCCUCGAUGCAUUGAUUGUGAGGCCAAAGGUGCAGUUCUUUGCACCACUUGUUCAGGUUCAGGGUUAUAUGUUGACUCCAUAUUGGAGAGCCAGGGUAUCAUUGUGAAAGUCCGCUGUUUAGGUUGUGGAGGAACGGGUAACAUUCUGAGCACANCAGAAUGUGGUGGGCGUGGUCAUCUUGGACCUCAAUGACCUGCAUGGUUUGCUUUUCCUCGCAGGAUUUUGUUGUGGCCUUGUUUGCUCCAACAUUUUCAUAUUAAAGGUCUCAUUUGUUAUAGUUAUGUAUUCUUGAGGUAUUUUAUGGUUCCAUCUUUG
rnacentral:misc_RNA from 1 species